GAAGAAGAGGCUGAGCGCAAAUCUUUUCACCACAAGGCGCUGAUGCAGCGAAUUGGUCCACCAUACUACUUGUAUACUGCUGGAGUUUGCGGCUGAAGACCGCUACGUCACAUCCCUGCAUGUCAAAAGUGUGGAACACAUACAGUACAUCACCAAAAACUGACCAGAACUGGGCUCAUGGGACGAAGUGGGGAGCAUCAACAUAGAUGACAUGGAGAGGGAGCUUCCUCUGACAACCAUGGGGGUCUACGUGGUCAGAAAAGAAAAUGCAGAGCCCGAAGAAGAUCCAGAGGGUGUGGGAGUGCUGAUUGAAGGGGUGGAGGUCCUUGCUGGCCUCCCAAGUAUCACUUGUGGAUGCGCCAUGCUGUUUGGAAUGAUCUAUGCACUCAAUGUGGGCUACCCACAACACAAGCGUGGAAGUGUACAUUUGAUGUGUACCAGAAGAUACUGAUGAACCUAGAUGGUAAGAAGCUUUCACCAAAAGUUCAGUCACUGAAAAUCAAGAUGCUGCAGUGAUCUAUUUGAUGCAGUCAUGCUUCACCAGUGGACUCUUUUUGACUCUUCCUUCUAUACUUUCAAUCUUUCACUUGUGAUGGAAACAAAUCUUGGACAUUGUUGUGUUGUUAUUGUUGUUAUUGUUGCAUUUAAAUGUUUUUUUCUAAUUUUUUGAUAUUCUAAUUUUUUGGAAAGGGUCUGUAUUUUAAACUGCAUUUAAUAUGAUGUGACUAUCCAACAUGCCAAGAAUGAUAUUCCCGAUGCAGGUAAAUCUUCAAUAAAAAAACAUCCCUGCUGAA